rnacentral:rRNA from 1 species
GCACUUUCCAAAAUGUGCUCAAGAAGAUGCAGUCACGAUCACAAACGAUGCUCUCCAGAAUGCCAUGUAAACCACAUGUUGAAUAAAAAUGUUAGCAACUAUUUUUGCAAAAUAAAGAUGUAAAAGGGAAAUAAAAUGAGCGUAUUUGCUUUGUCUAUUCACCAUGACUAGCAGCGAAUUCUUUCCACCAAAUAAUGGUAACCAUCGAUGAAAUCCAUCGAGAUAUCGACCCAAACUUACGUCGGAAUAGGUAAUGGAAUUAACAAACCAACGGGCAAUAGUGGAAUAUAAUUAUUGUUUUAGCAUACAUCAUACUGAUCGACAAAACUGUUGACGUCUCUAAAAAAGGAUCAUAUGAGUCUGCGAUAAGUUUGUAACUCACCGGAAUGGCCUUCUGUCACUAAGUCGGGAACUCACAAAUUAAAUCACUCCUUAUACCAUCAUCAUUAGGAAGAAAAGUGUGACCUUGCUAGAAAAUGCAUCCCCCAUGAACUACCCUCCUUUGUUCAUCCUGAUCUCCAUCCUUUGACACAAGCAGCAAUUUGCUAAAAAUGGGGCCAACAAUAAUGGUUGUUUCAACCUUUCCCAGCCCAUAAAGGUAGAUUUGGAGAUUGCUACCAACUCACCUGCAUCUUCCCAUCUUGACAACGCAUCGGCCACAUUAUUCUACUGCCCCGGGCGAUACACGGUUUCAUAAUCAAAUAUGAUCAGUUUAGUGAGCCACCUUUUUUGUUCAAGUGUUGUUAUUCACUGCUACAAGAGAUAUCAUAGAUUGCGUUGGUCGGUGCAUAUCCAGAACUGCCUUCCUAACAAAUAAUGGAACCAUUGUUUCACUGCUUGAAAAAUGGCCAGUAUUUCUUUGGCGUAAAUAAAACAAUCCUUUUUGGUUGGCCCAAGGGUCUUACUAAGAUAAACAAUAGGGCGUCCUUUUUACUGUAACACUGCACUGAUCCUAUACCCUGAAGCAUCUGUUUCGAUCACAAACAUGUUAGAAAAAUCAGGUAAUGCAAGGACCGGUGUAGUAGUCAUAGCUUCCUUUAACAACUGAACUGCAUGGUUAGCUUCCUCUGUCCAAAUAAAUUUCUCUUUCUUCAGCAACUGAGUGAGUGGGAGAGCUAAGAGCCUGUAAUGACGGAUGAAUCUUCGAUAAUACCCGUCGGCUUUCGGCGGACUCCUCGAGCUGCUCUCGCGCUAGAGAGGGUCGGCGCGUGCCGGUCAAGGAACAGACUGGGAACGGUCCAUUCGGGGGCCUUCCCCAGGCAUCGAACAGUCAGCUCAGAACCGGUACAAACAAGGGGAAUCCAACUAAUUAAAAUAAAGCAUUGUGAUGGUCCCUGCGGAUGCUCACACAAUGUGAUUUUCUGUCAAGUGCUCUGAAUGUCAAAGUGAAGAAAUUCAACCAAGCGCGGGUAAACGAGAGAAGUAACAAUGACUCUCUUAAAGUAGCCAAAUGCCUCGUCAUCUAAUUAGUGAUGUGCAUGAAUGGAUUAACGAGAUUUCCAGUGUCCUUGUCUACUAUCCAAUGAAACCACAACCAAGGGAACGGGCUUGGUGGAAUCAACGAGGAAAGAAGAUGUAGUUGAACUUGACUCUAGUCUGACUUUGUAAAAUGACUUGAGAGGUGUAGGAUACGUGGGAGCCGGAAAUGGUGAAAGUGAAAUACUACUACUUUUAACAUUAUUUUACUUAUUCUAUGAAUCGGAAGUGGGGAACUGCCCCUCUUUUUUGUCCCAAGACCUGCUUCUAUGGGUCGAUCUGGGUGAAAGACAUUGUCUGGUGGGGAGUUUGGCUAGGGUGGCACAACUUUAAAAGAUAAUGCAGGUGUCUUAAGAUGAUCUCAACGAGAAAAGAAAUCUCGUGUGGAAAAAAAAUGUAAAAGUUCAUUUGAUUCUAAUUUCUAAUAUGAAUUCGAACCGUGAAAGCAUGGUCUAUCGAUCCUUUAGAUCUUCAGAAUUUGAAGCUAGAGGUGUCAGAAAAGUUACCACUAGGAUAACUGGCUUGUGAUAGCCAAGCGUUCAUAGCAACGUUGCUUUUUAAUCCUUCGAUGUCGGCUCUUCCUAUCAUUGUGAAGCAGAAUUCACAAAGUGUUGGAUUGUUCACUCACCAAUAUGGAACGUGAGCUGGGUAUAGACCAUCGUGAGACAGGUAAGUUUUAUCUACUAAUAACAGUAUCGCAAUAGUGAUUCAACCUAAUACGAGAAUAAUCAUUGAUUCGCACAAUUAGUCAACGCGUUUGGUUGAAAAACCAAUAGCGUAAAGCUGCCAUGCACUAGAUUAUGACUGAACGCCACUAAGUCAGAAUCCAGGCUAGAAGCGACGCAUGCCCUCGUCGCCCGAUUGUCGACCAACAACAUGGGUCUUUGGGCCCCCAAAGGCAUGUGUCGUUGGUGAAGCCUUCUCGACGGACAAGUCGAGUUGGCCGCCUUGAAAGCAAACGCUUUCACA